AAGGGUUUCGAUCCGUAAACCCCUGUCAUUUGCGAACAAUGGUUAACCGAUAACACCGGUUAACUUGAUAGUAGCGAAAGAGGAAGGGACGGCUAACUCUGUGC
rnacentral:rRNA from 1 species